AGCUUCGCAGCUUCGAAUUUCAGCGCCUGUCCGGCAGCCACUGCACCCUUGUCCAUCUCUGAGGCUUUAAACUGAGAAGGUCCACAGAGGAAAGCAUGCCACAGUAUUUUUCCAAAAUCCUUCUAUCCUAAGGAACAGCUAAGAAGUAACUAGUCAGGGAAAAGAUUUCUUCCUAGAUCCAGAUGAAUAGAACUGAGAAGCAAUCGAAGCUCGCGCUGGCAACAGUUGUGGCGUAAAGCAAGCGCAGUUGGGCUGUUUGAUCUCUAAGUCCUCGGGUAAUUGGAGUCUACACAGCAUGUGGAAUGUGGAAUUGGGCCUGAGCCGUGGCCCGCAUGCCCAAAGCCUGCUGCUGGCCUGCCUGGAGCACCAUUUGCCCCUGGCUAGGUUCCGCCUGCAUCCGGAGUUCUGCUUUGACACAGACCUUGUUUCCAAGCUGAGAAGAUGAAGACGCGGUGGAGACUGGAAAUAGAAGGCAUACCGUUUGUUAUCGGGUGCACAGAGGUUGAACGGUACUCAGAAGCGCCGCUAGGCAAGGCUGUACCAGCUGGCCCAACCCGAUGUCCCUGUUCUAAGAAACCAUGGCUGGUUUCAGGUUGGAGGGGCCUGAUACUUCUUGGAGAAAAGAAACAAAAAUUAUCAAUAUGAAAUAUGAUGCCAUGGAGCAGGACCUGUGAGACAAAGGCCUGAAGACAAGUUGCCUUCACAUAAAAUAAAGGUAACUAGUAGUGAACAGUUAUUAAUGCAGUUAACAUUAUUAUGUCCAUUUCACAGACAAAAAAGUUGAGGCACAAAGGAGGUUGUGUAACAUCCUCAGUCACCUACAACAUCCCAUGCUCAGAGUCCUAAGCCAGAAAUAAUGCCCAGGGUGUGGGGAGGAGGUAGCGACACUUGGAAAACACAGUCACCUGGCUUUCUUCAAAUUUAAAAGCCCAGUCGGGCAU